rnacentral:rRNA from 1 species
UACGUAGGGUGCAAGCGUUAAUCGGAAUUACUGGGCGUAAAGCGUGCGCAGGCGGUUUUGUAAGUUUGUCGUGAAAGCCCCGGGCUCAACCUGGGAAUUGCGAUGAAGACUGCAAGGCUUGAAUCUGGCAGAGGGGGGUAGAAUUCCACGUGUAGCAGUGAAAUACGUAGAGAUGUGGAGGAACACCGAUGGCGAAGGCAGCCCCCUGGGUCAAGAUUGACGCUCAUGCACGAAAGCGUGGGGAGCAAACAGGA